rnacentral:rRNA from 1 species
UACAGGGGGGGCAAGCGUUGUUCGGAAUUACUGGGCGUAAAGGGCUCGUAGGUGGCCAACUAAGUCAGACGUGAAAUCCCUCAGCUUAACUGGGGAACUGCGUCUGAUACUGGAUGGCUUGAGUUUGGGAGAGGGAUGCGGAAUUCCAGGUGUAGCGGUGAAAUGCGUAGAUAUCGGGAGGAACACCAAUGGCGAAGGCAGCUCGCUGGGACGUGACUGACGCUGAGACGCGAAAGCGUGGGGAGCAAACAGG